rnacentral:rRNA from 1 species
AGUCUGAUGGGGCAACGCCGCGUGAGUGAAGAAGGGUUUCGGCUCGUAAAGCUCUGUUGGUAGUGAAGAAAGAUAGAGGUAGUAACUGGCCUUUAUUUGACGGUAAUUACUUAGAAAGUCACGGCUAACUACGUGCCAGCAGCCGCGGUAAUACGUAGGUGGCAAGCGUUGUCCGGAUUUAUUGGGCGUAAAGCGAGUGCAGGCGGUUCAAUAAGUCUGAUGUGAAAGCCUUCGGCUCAACCGGAGAAUUGCAUCAGAAACUGUUGAACUUGAGUGCAGAAGAGGAGAGUGGAACUCCAUGUGUAGCGGUGGAAUGCGUAGAUAUAUGGAAGAACACCAGUGGCGAAGGCGGCUCUCUGGUCUGCAACUGACGCUGAGGCUCGAAAGCAUGGGUAGCGAACAGGAUUAGAUACCCUGGUAGUCCAUGCCGUAAACGAUGAGUGCUAAGUGUUGGGAAGUUUCCGCCUCUCAGUGCUGCAGCUAACGCAUUAAGCACUCCGCCUGGGGGAGUACGACCGCAAGGUUGAAACUCAAAGGAAUUGACGGGGGGCCCGCACAAGCGGUGGAGACAUGUGG